UGAAAACCAAGAUGGCGGACGCUGCAGAAUUCUCCGCAAAAACUGAUCGUCUGCCGUCUCCCUGCGAUUAYGAGCCACUAAAAAUCUGCUUGGAGAGAAAUAAUGGAGACAGAUCUAAGUGUAAGAAAGAGCUGGAAGAUUUUCAGCGUUCCUGUGCCGAAAACAAAAGGAAACUUAAGGGGAAGCAAGAAACUACAAUUGAAUGUGGUUGUUGAAGGAAGCGUUCAAGCAAGCAGCCAUGGUAACAGCCACACUCUUGAAAUCAUCCAGAAUAUACCAAUGCAUUAGGACAAGAAAUUGAGAAUGAAAUGUGCACACCUGUUAUGAAGAAGGGAUAUCAGCAACUGCUUCUGCUGAAUUCCAGACUGAAUAGGAUKGAAACUUUCUAUGUAAUUGUGAGAAGUGGGRCAAGCCAGCUCAGCAGGUCAGCCAUUUUAUUAAMCAAAAUUAUWAGUGUUMMUCAUUUSUGUGCUGAUUUGUCACAAGCAAAACACGGCUGAGGGUAAUGAUUUUGGCCGUAAAACUUGCAGCAUGUGUAUUACCUUGGCCAGCCAGGGACUGUGAGUGGAAAAUGUAUGGUACUGAUUUAUGAUGUAGGCAUCCCUCUUGGCUUUGGAGUUUYUCAUUUCCUUCUUUGAUAGGCUACCUGUGGGGUGUUGAUUUAAAUAUGUGGACAARACCCACCCUCUCCCCACUCCUUCAUCACACAGGGAUCCCAAUCACAAGAGAAAGUAAAAAAAAGGAAUACGUAUGUAGAGGAUAGUUGGCCAAAACUUUGAAACCUCUUCCCAUUAUGUUUAUGUAAAUUAUCUGAUGUUGGAGGGAGAAGGAGUGAUUCUAUGUUAUAUAUUAACCAGUACAAAAGAAAUAUCAAACAUAUUUACAAUACUGGCAUUUUUCGUUGUUGGGUAGUAAAGAGCGUUGAUAGAGGAAGGAGAGWUAUUGUUCAUUCUCAAUUAAUAAAUUUAUGAAUAAAUCUA